CUCUGGGGCUUUCCACAUACUUGGGCUUCCUGACGGGACCUGCAGUGGAAAAGAUCCGAGUGUGGCUAAUUUUUUCCAGACGCAAACAAAGCUUCGGAAUGUACAGCGUGUGUCCUUCCCCAGGACCCAAAUAUGCCUAAAGGAGGAGCCGGCCCCUUCUCCUCCCUUGAGCACACGCACGCUCAUUUCAGUACAGACGCGGGAACGUCCGGCCUGGGGCUGCCAAAGGAGAAGGGGCAGUAAGCUCCGUUGCGAGAAUGUAGGCUCGGACCCAAACCAAAGCGGCUCCUUUGCUGCGCGGUCUCUACGGCUGCCUUUGGUAUCCGUCAAAUUGGCAGGCCCCAGAUGCACCUCCAUCCUGAGCUGUGAGAUCAGGGGCAGCGAGCUCACACACCACGGCAGAAACGCAUUGGAGGAGUCCUCUCUGGGGAAAGUCACCAGGAGAAAAGAACUUCACACACACAGAGAGAGAGAGAGAGAGAGGCGCAGAGACACAGGCAGAGGGAGAAGCAGGCUCCAUGCACCGGGAGCCCAACGUGGGACUCGAUCCCGGGUCUCCAGGAUCGCGCCCUGGGCCAAAGGCAGGCGCCAAACUGCUGUGCCACCCAGGGACCCCAACCCUAUGCAAUUCUUAAAACCCACGGAACUGUUCAACAAAAAGUAAACUUCAUUAUAUACAAAUAAAAAUGAAAAUUUUUUAAAAAGGGA